GGACUGAAUAAUAAUGACAUGACCAGCAGUUUUCAUUUUGGAGUGUUUUUCAGAGGGUAACCAGUGUUUGGUUGUUUUUUUUUUUAAUUUCUACUGUCUCUUCUAGUUCUCAGAUAUCUGUCUAGUUUUCCUUUAUAAUUUAUUAAUCUUGCCUAGGCUCUUUUACUCAUCAUAGUUUUCAGCAUUCCUGGGUACUUGAAUGUUCUCCACUGUUAAUGUUGCCACUACGUCCACUGCUUUCACUGAACUGAAGUCAGGUCAGCAGAUUCAGGAGAGUGUCUUGAAAGGUAACUUUUUUGGAGCAUCUUCAGCAUAAAAAUGUUCCUUCUAAAAUGCAAUGGCAAGAACUUAAACAGUGUAACCAAUGUGGUCUGACCAGGAAGAAGUACAAAAGAAUUACCAUCUCCCUUUUUCUUUCCAAAUGUUCUAAUAAUCCAAAGUAAAAUCCCAUUAGCUUUUUUUGACUUUCAUGACAUAGUAUUUGGAAUUAGCUGGCUAGGAAGAGCCAAGAUGAAAGAGCAACAGGAAGAAAUAUAGUUGAAAUGUCACCUACAACUCCACAAAGAUAGUACCAAACCUAGAUGUGAUUGGGAAAUUGAAGAAAAGAAGUCACAGUAAUCAGUUUUCCAUAUAAGUUCACCAUAAGGAACUAGUCAUAGUAGUCUUUAGACACUG
rnacentral:lncRNA from 1 species